GGCGGAUUCGUCUAAAGGUCAGGACAGGAGGCUUUCAACUUCCAGACAGCGGGUUCAAUUCCCCUAUCCGUCACCA
rnacentral:tRNA from 1 species